rnacentral:rRNA from 1 species
GACGAACGCUGACGGUGUGCUUUAGACAUGCAAGUCGAACGCGAAAGCCCUUCGGGUUAGUAGAGUGGCGAACGGGUGAGUAACACGUGGGCGAAUACUGCCCCUCCGCAGGGGGACGAACCGGAGGAAACGUACCGGCUAAUACCCGUACCGCUUGUAGGAUCGCAUGAUCUUACAAGGAAAGGUAAGCUUCGGCCAUCCGGCGAGGGAUGAGCCCGCGGUGCAUUAGCUAGUU